CCUGCCCCUACAGCCAUUGCAAGUAUGGCUGCUGUGUCACAUGUACUGAUCAGUAGGUGGCAGAAAGGAAAGAGGCUAUGCCUAUGCUCAGUGUUCUAAUAUAUGAACAUUAAAGGAUUAGUAGCCAAAUAUA